rnacentral:rRNA from 1 species
AUGGCGAAGAAGGCCGCAAAGCGAGCUGUUGGUGAGGCAAGGGGUCGGGCGUAUGAGGACCUCUACCAACGGUUAGGCACGAAGGAAGGCGAAAGGGACAUCUAUAAGAUGGCCAAGAUCCGAGAGAGGAAGACGAGGGAUAUUGGCCAAGUCAAAUGCAUCAAGGACGGAGCAGGCCAACUCUUGGUGAAGGACGAGGAGAUUAAGCAUAGAUGGCAGAAGUACUUCGACAAGCUAUUCAAUGGGGAGAAUGAAAGCUCUACCAUUGAACUGGACGACUCUUUUGAUGAGACCAGCAUGCGUUUUGUGCGUCGAAUCUAG